AGAACGAACGCUGGCGGCAGGCCUCAAACAUGCAAGUCUAGGGGGUGUAGCAAUACAUCACCGGCGGACGGGUGCGUAACGCGUGGGAAUGUACCUAUUGGUUCGGAACAACCCAGGGAAACUUGGGCUAAUACCGAAUGUGCCCGAAAGGGGAAAGAUUUAUCGCCAAUGGAUCAGCCCGCGUAGGAUUAGCUAGUUGGUGGGGUAAUGGCCCACCAAGGCUCCGAUCCUUAGCUGUUCUGAGAGGAAGAUCAGCCACACUGGGACUGAGACACGGCCCAGACUCCUACGGGAGGCAGCAGUUGGGAAUCUUGGACAAUGGGGGAAACCCUGAUCCAGCCAUGCCGCGUGAGUGAUGAAGGCCUUCGGGUUGUAAACUCUUUCGCGCACGACGAUAAUGACGGUAGUGCGAGAAGAAGCUCCGGCUAACUUCGUGCCAGCAGCCGC
rnacentral:rRNA from 1 species